UAUUCUUGCCACUUUUAGCAAAUACAUCACAGGUGAUCAUUACAAUGUUAUCGCAUCACAGGUUUAAGUCCUGCUGUUCCUGCUGUGAUGAGAGGAAAUACAGUAGAUUGGCUUUAUGCUUCCUGGACAAGCUGACAUGAUGAAGCGCGGUCACCAACAGCCUUCUGACAGCAAGCUAUUCCUAAAGCCACGUCUGGCUUUCAUCUUGCAGCUGGGCCAGGAAGUGGAAAGUGUUUGCUUGGCACAUUUAGCCCUGACUCUCUAAGACGAACAUUAACAGACAAACACAGACUCAUAGAAAACUGUCAAAGGUCUGAACUCUGAAAAGCAUUUGUAGCAGGGAAAAAAAAGUCCCAUUUCAGUUACUUUUUUUCAUGGAAACAAUGUGAUUUAACAUUUAUAAAGCCUUUGGCAACUCCUAUUUACGUACGCAAGUAUCUAUGCAUUGUCACAGAAACAGAGGCUUCAUAUUGCACAGAAAAAAGCAAGGACAUAUGAAGCAAAUGAUGGGACAAAUGAGAAAAAUGAUAGACCAAGAAGCGACUUUUUAACACACCUUGAUGCCUUUUUAAAGUGAGUUUACGAAGCAGAGGAAGGGCAGAUUCAACCCCUUCAUCCAGCACUGUUCAGGUAUAUCCAAAGAAACCAAAAUGUUUCCUGCAAAUACCCUUUGUGGGAUUCUUCAUAUAAAAAGAAAAAUCUCAUAUUUCAAUCUGAUAAUUUCGUUGACAUUUACUACACUCUGAUUCUUAUGCAAAAUAAGAAAACCCCCAGUAACUAGAAUCCCUUACAAAAAGCAUUCAUACCUGUCGAACCUUUUCUCAUUUAAUCAUGUAACAAAUACAGACCAAAUUGGAUUUCAAUGGGAUUUCUAGUGAUAUAGCAACACAAAGUAGUGCUAAACUAUGAAGUGGAAGUGAAAUGAUACAUUUUUUCCCCCACAAUUAAUCUAAAAAAAUGUAAAAUGCAUUUGCAUUUAGCCCUGAUAUCCCUAAAUAAAUCCCUGUACAAAUGAUAACCCCCAAAAUUAAUCUAUUUAGUACAUUUAAAUUGUGUCCAAUUUAAAUUCAACAUAAAUCCAGCUGUUCUGUGAAGGCUUGAGAGGUUUAUAAGAGAAUAUUAAUGAAUAAGCAGCAUCAUUACAGCCAAGGAAAACAGCAGAAAAAAGUCUGAGACCAAACUUGAAAGUUGCUUUUCAAUCUGACUGAAUUUAAGCUAUUUUGCAGGUUUGUGGAGGUAGCGGACACAUAAAAAGACUUUGCGUUGGUCUAUCACAUAAAAUCCAUUAAAAUACGCUGAAGUUUGUGGUUGUAACAUGACAGUGUGUGAAUACUUUUUCAAGGUCUUUUCAUACAUAGCACACCAACACACGACCCUGCACUUUAUAAGCUGUCCUAUCCUAACUGUGAAGCAUAUUCUUGUCAUUGUAGUUAAUGUGAAAGUAAGUAUGGCAUGUUGUGACAUUAAGCCCCAUUUCUCUGAAGUUUUAGUUGUUUUUUUUUAUGAUGCACAAAUCUGGAAAACACAUCCUAUUUGACGUUUUCUAUCAUGGCUACAUCUCUUGUUGAUUCUUUUUGUUCCUUAUGUUGUUUCCUACGUAACAAUGCUUUCAUGUACGAUGCACAGACAAGCAGGAAUA